rnacentral:rRNA from 1 species
GGUUUACCUGUGUGACUGCGUACCUUUUGUAUAAUGGGUCAGCGACUUAUAUUCUGUAGCAAGGUUAACCGAAUAGGGGAGCCGGAGGGAAACCGAGUCUUAAUUGGGCGUUAAGUUGCAGGGUAUAGACCCGAAACCCGGUGAUCUAGCCAUGGGCAGGUUGAAGGUUGGGUAACACUAACUGGAGGACCGAACCGACUAAUGUUGAAAAAUUAGCGGAUGACCUGUGGCUGGGGGUGAAAGGCCAAUCAAACCGGGAGAUAGCUGGUUCUCCCCGAAAGCUAUUUAGGUAGCGCCUCGUGAAUUCAUCUCCGGGGGUAGAGCACUGUUUCGGCUAGGGGGCCAUCCCGGCUUACCAACCCGAUGCAAACUGCGAAUACCGGAGAAUGUUAUCACGGGAGACACACGGCGGGUGCUAACGUCCGUCGUGAAGAGGGAAACAACCCAGACCGCCAGCUAAGGUCCCAAAGUCAUGGUUAAGUGGGAAACGAUGUGGGAAGGCCCAGACAGCCAGGAUGUUGGCUUAGAAGCAGCCAUCAUUUAAAGAAAGCGUAAUAGCUCACUGGUCGAGUCGGCCUGCGCGGAAGAUGUAACGGGGCUAAACCAUGCACCGAAGCUGCGGCAGCGACACUGUGUGUUGUUGGGUAGGGGAGCGUUCUGUAAGCCUGCGAAGGUGGCCUGUGAGGGUUGCUGGAGGUAUCAGAAGUGCGAAUGCUGACAUAAGUAACGAUAAAGCGGGUGAAAAGCCCGCUCGCCGGAAGACCAAGGGUUCCUGUCCAACGUUAAUCGGGGCAGGGUGAGUCGACCCCUAAGGCGAGGCCGAAAGGCGUAGUCGAUGGGAAACGGGUUAAUAUUCCCGUACUUGGUGUUACUGCGAAGGGGGGACGGAGAAGGCUAUGUUGGCCGGGCGACGGUUGUCCCGGUUUAAGCGUGUAGGUGUGUGUUCCAGGUAAAUCCGGUUCACUUUAACACUGAGGCGUGACGACGAGGCACUACGGUGCUGAAGCAACAAAUGCCCUGCUUCCAGGAAAAGCCUCUAAGCAUCAGGUAACAUCAAAUCGUACCCCAAACCGACACAGGUGGUCAGGUAGAGAAUACCAAGGCGCUUGAGAGAACUCGGGUGAAGGAACUAGGCAAAAUGGUGCCGUAACUUCGGGAGAAGGCACGCUGACACGUAGGUGAAGUGAUUUACUCAUGGAGCUGAAGUCAGUCGAAGAUACCAGCUGGCUGCAACUGUUUAUUAAAAACACAGCACUGUGCAAACACGAAAGUGGACGUAUACGGUGUGACGCCUGCCCGGUGCCGGAAGGUUAAUUGAUGGGGUCAGCGCAAGCGAAGCUCCUGAUCGAAGCCCCGGUAAACGGCGGCCGUAACUAUAACGGUCCUAAGGUAGCGAAAUUCCUUGUCGGGUAAGUUCCGACCUGCACGAAUGGCGUAAUGAUGGCCAGGCUGUCUCCACCCGAGACUCAGUGAAAUUGAACUCGCUGUGAAGAUGCAGUGUACCCGCGGCAAGACGGAAAGACCCCGUGAACCUUUACUAUAGCUUGACACUGAACAUUGAGCCUUGAUGUGUAGGAUAGGUGGGAGGCUUUGAAGUGUGGACGCCAGUCUGCAUGGAGCCGACCUUGAAAUACCACCCUUUAAUGUUUGAUGUUCUAACGUGGACCCGUUACCCGGGUUGCGGACAGUGUCUGGUGGGUAGUUUGACUGGGGCGGUCUCCUCCUAAAGAGUAACGGAGGAGCACGAAGGUUGGCUAAUCCUGGUCGGACAUCAGGAGGUUAGUGCAAUGGCAUAAGCCAGCUUGACUGCGAGCGUGACGGCGCGAGCAGGUGCGAAAGCAGGUCAUAGUGAUCCGGUGGUUCUGAAUGGAAGGGCCAUCGCUCAACGGAUAAAAGGUACUCCGGGGAUAACAGGCUGAUACCGCCCAAGAGUUCAUAUCGACGGCGGUGUUUGGCACCUCGAUGUCGGCUCAUCACAUCCUGGGGCUGAAGUAGGUCCCAAGGGUAUGGCUGUUCGCCAUUUAAAGUGGUACGCGAGCUGGGUUUAGAACGUCGUGAGACAGUUCGGUCCCUAUCUGCCGUGGGCGCUGGAGAACUGAGGGGGGCUGCUCCUAGUACGAGAGGACCGGAGUGGACGCAUCACUGGUGUUCGGGUUGUCAUGCCAAUGGCACUGCCCGGUAGCUAAAUGCGGAAGAGAUAAGUGCUGAAAGCAUCUAAGCACGAAACUUGCCCCGAGAUGAGUUCUCCCUGAGACUUAGAGUCUCCUGAAGGAACGUUGAAGACGACGACGUUGAUAGGCCGGGUGUGUAAGCGCAGCGAUGCGUUGAGCUAACCGGUACUAAUGAACCGUGAGGCUUAACCUUACAACGCCGAAG